GAAGAAUCAAUGCUAUCAGAACACAACAUCAUGGAAGGUCUUAUUGACAAGAUCUUAGGGGAUCUUCUUUGCCAGAUGCCUCGCCAGCACUAAAGUCUAUUCUUCAGUCAGAUGCUACAGUUACAAAUGACAGUGAAUGGUCAGAUUUAUACAAUUGUGAUGAACAAUCCUCAACAAUACAUCAAACAAAAAUGCCUAUUAAACUUUCUCACAGACAGUCAAAGGUUGAAAACAAAUCAGAAGUGGUCCACAUCUUGAAAAACCUCACAGCAGUUUAAGACUUUCCCCGAAAUGUCCCUGUAAAAGCCGCAGUGGUAUGUCCAGUGCAGUAGAUACUGCCUGGCACAAAAGAGGAUUUGACAGUUUAACAUUGUACUGCAUCAAUAAACUAAAUAUGGAGAGUAGCUUAGUCACCAAAGCAAUCAACACCAAAAUACACACAAUGGGUAGGGCACUGAAACUUGGAAGAGUGAAAGAGUAAAGUAGUGCGUUUUUAGCUUACAAAGUGACAUUGCGAGCUUUUAUCUAUCUUUCGUCCGUAAACUUGAUCUUUAAACAACAUCUCAUAAAUUGCCAAGCCAAUUUCAUGCAAACUUACGAUAUUGUCUAGUCAGUUUUUGUUUUGCUUGCAAUCGUUAUAUGACAUGACUAAAGACAUUUAGUUUUAUUCUUAAGUUAUUAUGUUUAUGUUUGUAUAAGACCCAAAAAUAUUGUUAAGAUUCAUUUUUACAAUUUUGAAAGCCAUUAUUGCUCUAGUCUGUUUUUGUUUUGCUUGCAAUCGUUAUAUGACAUGACUAAAGACAUUUAGUUUAAAUCUUUAGUUAUUAUGUCUAUGAGGGGCGUCCGUGGCCGAGUGGUUAAGGUCAUUGACUUCAAACCACUUGCCCCUCACCACUGUGGGUUGGAAUCCCGACAGGGGCUUUGGAUUCUUUCAUGUGAGGAAGCUAUCCAGCUGGCUUAACUGAACGUCGGUGGUUCUACUCAGAUACCCGUUCGUGCAUGAAAUAAUGCAAGGAAGGGCACCUGAACGUCACGAUAUGACCUAUACUGUGUCGAUGUGACAUAAAAACCCAAAACAAACAAACAAAAAAUUAUGUCUAUGAAAUUCGUUGUUUGUAUAAGACCCAAAUAUAUUGUUGUGAUUAAUUUUAACAAUUUUGAAAGCCAUAAUUGUUCGUGUCAGAUAUUGUUUUGCUCACAAUCAUAAUGUUAUAUGACAUGAGUUUAAAUCUGAAGGUAUUAUGUCCAUGAAAUAUGUUGUUUGUAUAAGACCAAAAUAUAUUUUUGAGAUUCAUUUUUACAAUUUUGAAAGCCAUUAUUGGUCUAGUUUGUUUUUGCAUAACACAUAACGCUUUUGUUAGUAUUUAUUGUUAUUAAUAGUGAUUUGUCUAAGUGGAUGUCGAAGUAUGUAUGUUAUUCCAUGCCAGUUCAUGUUUGAAUGAAACUUUUUGUCCAGAUAGAAGAUUUCAAACUGUAACUUUUCUGAUUUUUAGCUUUUACAACAAUAUUAUAUUUCCCAUUUUUGGUGCUAAGAAAUACUGCAACAUGUGCUGAAUAAUAGCUAUUGUCAAACAUUGUUUUUAUGCUCCCCGAAAAAUUUCGGGGGAGCAUAUAGUCAUCGGGUUGUCUGUCCGUCUGUCUGUACGUACAUACGAACCCGAAUUCGUGUCCAGCCUAUAACUUUGUUAUUUCAAGUUGGAUUUUAAAACUAUUUCACAGAAAUGAUCACCAUAUUGAGACGACGUGUCGCCCGCAACAUUUGGGUCGCUACCUUGAAGGUCAAGGUCACACCAUGACCUUGAACAAAAAUCAUGUCCGGCCCAUAACUUCGUUAUUUGAAGUCGGAUUUUAAAGCUAUUUAAAAGUAAUGAUCACCAUAUUGAGACGAUGUGUCGUGCGCAACAUUUGGGUCGUUACCUUGAAGGUCAAGGUCACAGCAUGACCUUGAACAAAAAUUGUGUCCGGCCCAUAACUUGGUUAUUUGAUGUCGGAUUUUACAACUAUUUCACAGAAAUGAUCACCAUAUUGAGACGAUGUGUCACACACACCAUUUGGGUCAAUACCUUGAAGGUCAAGGUCGCAACAUGACAUUGAAGUAAAAUCGUGUCCGGCCCAUAAAUUCGUUAUUUGAAGUCGGAUUUUACAACUAUUCCACCGAAAUGAUCAACCAUAUUGAGAUGAUGUGUCACACGCAACAUUUGGGUCAUUACCUUGAAGGUCAAGGUCACAGCAUGACCUUGAAGCAAAAAUGUGUCUGGCCCAUAACGUCGUUAUUUAAAGUGGGAUUUUACAACUAUUUUGGAAUUAUCACACUUUGAACUUUGUCUGGGACAUAACCCUGAAACUUCAAAAGAUAGACUUUUCUGUGUCCAAAUCCUAGUCGGGGAGGAUCACCCCGGUUCAACCGGCUCUUGUUUUAAUUGAUUAUUAAGUAAUAUGAACAAUUCAUGAUAGAAUCAUAACUAAAGAGUGGAAAUUUAUGAAAGUCAAAUAUGUAUAGAAUCAGUUGCUAAUAAAAUGUGUGUAAAAUUUAUCUCUUUUUUUAACUCGGGAAUUAGUUUCUUUAUUUUACAAAUUUAUCAAAUUUCAUUUUAUUCUACUGAUAUGUUUGUAAUAUUUCUUUUAUUUUCUAUUGAAAAAAUGUGUUAAACCAAUAUGUAUUUGUUUUCUUAUAAUUCAGCUAGUUUUAAUUAUUCCAAUGUUUGA